AAAAUAGUUGAAAAAUCCUAAAAUUUUCUGAAUUUAAGAACAACAAACAAUUUGAAUAUUGUCUGAAAGCAGACAACUUUCAGACUAUUUUCCCUCUCCUCCUGCUGUCUAGUACAUCAAGAUUGUGUUCAGAAGUUAUGCAAUAUGUCAUAAAACAUUUUUCUCCUGCUUAUUAUUGUGAUGACACUGGAAUCAUCCACCAGUGUAGAAAUUAUGAAAGAGACACCUAAAACUGUAAUUUUCAAGUUUCCUGUUUUUCUUUUUGCUGAUGCUACAGAUUUGCAGUCGCAGAUUUGCAGUCAGAUAAAGUGAUUUUCAAAUUUAAAAAAAAACUAUCUGUUCUCAGUCAUCUGGACCUAUUCAUUCUCAUCACUCAAAGCACAUCAGGACAAUCUGUGAUUUAAGUCAAUUGGCUGGUUUAUGGAGCACUAAAUGGCAGAGAGCAGCUGUCUUGUCCUACCCCAGGGAGCUAAGAGAUCUUGGAAAAGUCCAGGGAAGUUAAAUGAAGGCACAUAUCUCAGAUGACCGGAGAGAGUAUCUGGAAAUUCCAGACUCCUGGUUCAGAUGUACAAACUGGAAGGCACAAACAGAGGCAGCUGUCCCCACACAUGGCCAAAAAAUGUGUGACUGCAUCUCGCUUUGAUGAAUGUAUGAAUGAGAAGUACACCUGUUCAAUGAAAAUGGAGAUGAUCUUUGGUUUGUGA
rnacentral:lncRNA from 1 species